AUCGAGCGUAGGUUCCUAGCGAGCCCAACCUCCCACCCGUGUUUACUGUACCUUAGUUGCUUCGGCGGGCCCGCCAUUCAUGGCCGCCGGGGGCUCUCAGCCCCGGGCCCGCGCCCGCCGGAGACACCACGAACUCUGUCUGAUCUAGUGAAGUCUGAGUUGAUUGUAUCGCAAUCAGUUAAAACUUUCAACAAUGGAUCUCUUGGUUCCGGCAUCGAUGAAGAACGCAGCGAAAUGCGAUAACUAGUGUGAAUUGCAGAAUUCCGUGAAUCAUCGAGUCUUUGAACGCACAUUGCGCCCCCUGGUAUUCCGGGGGGCAUGCCUGUCCGAGCGUCAUUGCUGCCCAUCAAGCACGGCUUGUGUGUUGGGUCGUCGUCCCCUCUCCGGGGGGGACGGGCCCCAAAGGCAGCGGCGGCACCGCGUCCGAUCCUCGAGCGUAUGGGGCUUUGUCACCCGCUCUGUAGGCCCGGCCGGCGCUUGCCGAACGCAAAUCAAUCUUUUCCAGGUUGACCUCGGAUCAGGUAGGGAUACCCGCUGAACUUAAGCAUAUCA
rnacentral:rRNA from 1 species